AAUAAUCACAUUUGUUUUAUUUUUUAGACAAAAGAUAUCAAGUUUUGAUGAAAAAGGAAGGAAGGAGGAAAAAUGGACCAAAACAGACCAAAACAGACCUUCAAAUGAACUCUAAAAGGUGCAAUAAAAUUGUUUAUCAUCUAAAAGUUGUCUUUUGUAUUCUAUUUAAUUGUUUGAAUGCAUAGAUCAUGAGUUUUUGAUCAGAUAUUAGUCAACACUGCAUUUUAUAAUGAUACACUGAAAUUUGGAUUUGUCGAAGAAAUAAGACUGAAAUUGCCGUAGGAUAUGGCCUUACAUUAUAGUGAUUUUCUCUGAAACUAUAGAUCUGACUGAGACAAAACUUGGCAGUUAUGCUUGAAAUAACUUGCAAUUGGAGGGAAAAAAAUUACAUUAAGUUUAUUUGACAUUUAGGUGUUCUUUAGGUGUAAUACCACCAAAUCAUGAUACGCCACAUCCGGUUGCAUACGAAAGUAGGUCUAAAAAAAUAUUCCCUUGAAUUUGACAGUUGUAGAAAAUUAACCCUGCAUUUCAAUGCACUUAAAUUUUUCUGAGUCAUAAACAUGUAUGUUGGGUGUCUGAAAGCAUCAUUCUUUUUUUAUUUGAUGGUCUUAUAAAAUAUUUUGGAAAGUUAAGGUUACAUAGUUGCCAAAGCAGGUAACCAGUAAAUAACCUGGUAAAAAUGUGAUUGUUUACUUCCGGUGCAGGUUACUUUCUCUAUAUGCAAUGAAAUGUAGUGUGAAAUUUUCACUGUAGCACUGGAAAGGAUUAAACUUUAUUCAUGCAAAGUAUUUUCUUUGGUUGAAAUAAAGGUAAAUUCUGUACAUUUUUUUUAAAAGUACCAAUUUAACAAAGACUAAUAGGGAAAAAUCAAUGGUGGUAUUACACCUAUUUAGGGAAACUACAUGUGCACUCGUGACCUUAUUGUACUUUCAUUUUUAAAAGUUAUUAAUAAACCAGUUCAUACAUUGUAAACAUGGACUAUUCGGAAUGGAUUGAGACACAGAAAGCACGUUUGAGGUAAAAUUGCCUUGAAAUGGGGGUUUACGGGUGUUUUCUAAGUCAAAUGGGUGGACAGACAAAGCUGUAUUUAGUUUACUGUGUUAAAUUUUAAAUAAUACCCUAACAGUUUUGUUUAUACAACAUGUGAAUUUUUUAUUUCAGUGUUCACAUGUUCUGAAGAGCAUUCUGUUGAAAAAUCUUAUAUGUGAAUUGGUCUGCAGAUGACACUUCAGCAUUAAAGUAAGUAUCAACUAUCAUCAUGUUUUUUGUGUUUUUUUUGGCCGCAAAAGUUUACAAUUUGCCAUUGUGCCAUCUACAUUUUGCACAGAC
rnacentral:lncRNA from 1 species